GGCCGGGUCCUGGGCAAUGUGACGGUGCGAAUCUGGUCAGGCCGGGAACGGAGCAGCCAUAAGCAUGCGGUCGCAUGUCCUGGGGUGCCUGGUCGUC
rnacentral:SRP_RNA from 2 species